UGAGUCCCCACAGUGUUUGGCCUAAACAAGCUCCCCCAAGUUCCCUUUCAGAAUCAAAAUUGCUCUCUCAUGAAAACAUCAUCACAUUCUUUCAUUUUAGUUUCCUCGGACACUCAGAGAAGCUUUUGAGGAAUCUCUGUCUAAAGAGUUCAUUCAUUCUUAAAUGUUUCUUUACUGUCUGUGUAGGAUGCCAUAGCAAUCUCACCCGGGAAACAAGGAAACAAGGAAAAAAGUCAAGGUUUAAGAUGUCCCUUCUAUGAAGCUUGUUAGCUUGAGCAAUUUUGGUUGAAACUUUGAAGCUUGUUAGCGUGGAUCUGCUGAUGAUACUUUGCUCCCCUUUUUGUAUCCAUUUGCCUUGAAAUAGGAGUAAACAAACAUGGCGCUGGGGAAGAAUUCCCGAGGCGAGAGGAGGAACUGCUCAACGGUCUCUGUAGCCGUGUUCGUUGCAUUUUGCUUAGUUGGUGUAUGGAUUGUAAUGUCAUCCAUUGAUCCAAUUCAGAAUUUAGUCAUGCAGGUAUCUGAGACUGAGACCAUAAAUGAGGUGAAAGAUAUAGCUAGUGAAAGUGGUUCCAGGCAAUAUGAAGAGGGGUUAGGUGAAAAUAUACCAGAAGAAUCAACAAGGGUAGAUAGCCAGAACCAUAAAUCUCAGAGUGAAACUAGUCCAGGAAAUCAGGAUGACCGAAAAGGAAUUGAAAAUGUGUCUGAUAAUAGAUCUGAAUAUAAUCAGCAUGAGGUUGUAAAGGACGUCUCAGGUAAAACAAAUGAUUUGGAUAAGGGUCCAGGGAGUAAAAUUGAGGAGAAUGAUCAAAUUAGGCAUGUCAAGCCAAGCAUCGACAAGAAGCAGGAAGAAUCACAUGGAUACUUAAAUUCAGAAUCUAGAGAAACAGAAACACUAGAUGGUCAAAUUAAUGAAGAAGUCAGAGGAUCAAUGGAAAGUUUAGAUGAAAGGGAAUCUGAUAAGAGCAUAAAUGGUAGUGAAUUAGGGACAGAAAGUACUGCAGGUGAAACCAUACAGCUAGAUGAGAGGAUUGGUGAGUCUGAGGAGGAGAAAGUCAAGGAAAAUCUGCGUUCAAAGCCAGAACAAAGUGCUGGAGAGGAUAACAUGGAAAGCCAUGAAAAAAGUCCAGCUUCUAAAGAAGUUUCUAUCACCGGUAUACAAACUGAAACUUUGAUUGAAGCUAGCACUGAAAACACUGAAAAGGGAACUUUUUCAACUCAAGCUGCAGAGUUGCAGCAUCGGAAGGAUCCACACAAGUCUUCAGUCUCCAUUGAAAGCACCAAAUAUGACUGGAAACUUUGUAAUACAACUACAGGAUCAGAAUACAUUCCUUGUCUUGACAAUUGGCAAGCAAUUAGAAGGCUUCACAGCAUAAUGAACUAUGAGCACUGGGAGAGGCACUGUCCCGAAGAAACUCCCACUUGUCUUGUUUCUCUUCCUGAGGGCUAUAGAAUCCCAAUUAAGUGGCCCAAAAGCAGGGAAAUGAUAUGGUACAAAAAUGCUCCACACACAAAGCUUGUAGAAUCUAAGGGUCAUCAAAACUGGGUCAAAGUUACCGGUCAAUACCUUACUUUUCCUGGUGGCGGAACGCAGUUUAAAAAGGGUGCUCUUCAUUACAUUGAAUUCAUUCAGAAUGCUCUUCCUAAUAUUGCUUGGGGGAAGAGAAGUCGUGUGAUAUUGGACGCUGGGUGUGGCGUAGCCAGCUUUGGAGGCUAUCUGUUUGAAAAAGAUGUUCUGACCAUGUCAUUUGCUCCUAAAGAUGUGCAUGAGGCCCAAGUGCAAUUUGCUCUGGAACGUGGAAUUCCCGCCAUAUUAGGUGCCAUGGGCACCAAAAGAUUGCCCUUCCCCGGUUCUGUCUUUGAUCUUAUCCACUGUGCACGUUGUAGAGUCCCUUGGCACAUAGAAGGUGGCAAGCUACUCUUGGAGCUUAAUCGUGUCUUGCGACCUGGAGGUUACUUUGUAUGGUCUGCUACUCCAGUGUAUCAAAAGGAUCCAGAAAAUGUUGGGAUUUGGAACGCCAUGGUUAAAAUUACAAAGUCAAUGUGCUGGGAUCAGGUGGUGAUUAAAAAGGACAAGUUGAAUGGAGUGGCAGCGGCAAUAUAUAGAAAACCAACUGACAAUGAAUGCUAUAACAGAAGAUCAACCAAUGAGCCGCCAUUGUGCAAUGAAUCUGAUGAUCCAAAUACUGCUUGGAAUAUAUCACUACAGGUUUGUAUGCACAAAGUGCCUGUAGGUUCAUCAGAGCGUGGAUCAAUCUGGCCUGAGCAAUGGCCACUGAGGUUAGAGAAACCACCCUACUGGUUAAACUCUCAGGCUGGUGUUUAUGGAAGAUCUGCUUCAGUGGAAUUCACUGCUGAUCACAAGCAUUGGAUUAACCUUCUUUCCCACUCAUAUUUGAAUGGAAUGGGAAUCAAUUGGUCUUCAGUAAGAAAUGUCAUGGACAUGAAAGCUGUUUAUGGAGGGUUUGCUGCAGCUCUUAAAACCUUGAAAAUAAAUGUUUGGGUAAUGAAUGUGGUUCCAAUUGAUACUCCAGACACAUUGCCAAUAAUAUAUGAGCGUGGCUUGUUCGGUAUUUAUCAUGAUUGGUGUGAAUCUUUCAGUACCUAUCCUAGAUCUUAUGAUCUUCUCCAUGCUGAUUCCUUGUUCUCAAAACUGAAGGAAAGGUGCAACAUAGUGGCAGUGAUUGCAGAAGUUGACAGGAUGCUGAGACCACAAGGAUAUUUGAUCAUAAGAGACAAUGUUGAAACUAUUGGUGAGAUAGAGAGCAUGACUAAAUCUCUACAUUGGGAUAUUCAGUUCACCUAUUCAAAACUUGGGGACGGAUUACUUUGCAUUCAGAAGACAUUGUGGCGUCCAACAGAGGUUGUAACCAUUAUGUCAGCCAUUGCCUGAUUAUGUUGCUUCACUCUUUCAAUUUCUAAAGGAUGGCACCCUCUUGUUUUGGCGAAAUGGAUACAUGAGGGUUUGAGGAAAAGAAUGUUGGGAAUGCAAGUGAGAUAGAAUCCAAGUGUAUGUAAGCAGUCUCGCAUUGGAUUAAAAAAAUUUGUUGAACAGUAUAUACGUGAAAUUAGCCAUAAAUGUGAUGUCCAUAUAUUUGUGUGGUUUGCUUUUA